rnacentral:rRNA from 1 species
AGCGAACGCUGGCGGCAGGCCUAACACAUGCAAGUCGAACGAACCUUUCGGGGUUAGUGGCGGACGGGUGCGUAACACGUGGGAACGUGCCUUUAGGUUCGGAAUAACUCAGGGAAACUUGUGCUAAUACCGCAUGUGCCCUUCGGGGGAAAGAUUUAUCGCCUUUAGAGCGGCCCGCGUCUGAUUAGCUAGUUGGUUGAGGUAAUGGCUCACCAAGGCGACGAUCAGUAGCUGGUCUGAGAGGAUGAUCAGCCACAUUGGGACUGAGACACGGCCCAAACUCCUACGGGAGGCAGCAGUGGGGAAUCUUGCGCAAUGGGCGAAAGCCUGACGCAGCCAUGCCGCGUGAAUGAUGAAGGUCUUAGGAUUGUAAAAUUCUUUCACCGGGGACGAUAAUGACGGUACCCGGAGAAGAAGCCCCGGCUAACUUCGUG